AAAUUUUAUGUCUCAUUUAAAAGAAGGCAUUCCUCUAUUAUAUAUUCUUGGGGACAUCUUGCUUCAAAUCACCUCUUUAAGUUUAUUAACUUUGUUGAUCCAUUUUUAUCAGCUAUUUGUUCAAUUUUACUUCUUACCAAGUCAGAUGUACUGAGUAAAAUUUUUGGCACAGUGAUUGGUGAGGUGUGUGCAUCUGUUAUUGAAUAUGAACCAUCAGUUAUAGAUGCAAAUAAACAAAAUUUGUCACUUAAGUUAGAAGAAGUAUACAAAAUUAUUAAUGAUGUUUGGUUAAUUUUCAAGGAUAUAAAGCUGAUUGAAAAUAUUCUUGGAGCAUUAAGCUUAAUUAUUAUGCUAAUGAGUAUAUUAAAUAGAGAUUGUAUAGAAUUUUGACAACAAAUACUGAGCUUGUAUAAUAAAUGUUUAUCAAUCGGUAUGUCUUGAUAUUGGGUUUCACAGUACUUGGCAAGUUUUUUAUCUGCAAUAUCAGAAAUUAUGCUAGAACCACUAAUAGAUAAUCUUUUUUCAAUAUAACAUGAAAUGGUUAUUCUAAUGUCAGAUUAUGAUUUUCUAAUGGUUAUUAAAAAAUUAAAAAUCAUUCCAAAGUUUUAGGAUGUCAUACUUAUUAAGGUAAAAAUUUUGGUGACAAAAUACGUGAACUGAUAUUUCGAGAUCUAAUUCAGAGCAAGGAAGAAUGGGUGCUUUAUUAAUACUAUAAAUGCUUCUGAUCAGAGUAUUAAAGUUAAAUCUUCAGAAAUUAUUCCAAUUUUGUAUGAUCUGCUGAAAAUCAAUAGCUCAUUUUAAGUAUUUAUUAAAAAUUACAUAAUGAUAAUUAAAUUUAAUAAUAAAAUAAAUAAUUAAUUUUCAGAUGAAGAACUUAUUAGUAAAAGUUUUUAUAUGCUUUGCAUA